rnacentral:rRNA from 1 species
GGGGGGGGGGGGGGGGGGGCGGAGCGGGGGCGGGUCGGGCGGGGGGGGGGGGGCUUGGUGGUGUGGAGUGGUGGCGGACGGGUGAGUAACACGUGAGGAAGCUGCCCCUGACUGCGGGAUAACUGCGGGAGACUGGAGCUCCUACCGGGUAUGCGCCCAAGAGGCAUCGGGAUCGGUGGGGAAGAAUUGCGGUCAGGGAUGAGCUCGCGGCCUAUCAGCUUGUUGGUGGGGUAACGGCUCACCAAGGCGACGACGGGUAGCCGGCCUGGGAGGGUGACCGGCCACAUUGGGACUGAGAAACGGCCCAGACUCCUACGGGAGGCAGCAGUGGGGAAUAUUGCACAAUGGGCGCAAGCCUGAUGCAGCAACGCCGCGUGAGGGAUGACGGCCUUCGGGUUGUAAACCUCUUUUAGCAGGGAAGAAGCGAAAGUGACGGUACCUGCAGAAAAAGCGCCGGCUAACUACGUG